AGUGAACGCUGGCGGUAGGCCUAACACAUGCAAGUCGAACGGCCACACAGUAAGCUCUUUCCCUUACCGGUGGCGACUGACGGGUGAGUGAGGCGUACAUCGCCUACUUCUUUUUCGUGGGGGAUAUCGUAGGGCCACUUCCGAUAAUACCUCACACGACCUACGGCUUGAUUCUAGGGAUGUUCGUGCCUUUCCCGUUUGUUUUAGCCGACGUCGGAUUAGCUAGUUGGCGAGGUAAAGGCCCACCAAGGCGACGAUACGUAGCUGGUCUGAGAGGAUGAUCAGCCACACUGGAACUGAGACACGGUCCAGACUCCUACGGGAGGCAGCAGUGGGGAAUAUUCGACAAUGGGCGAAAGCCUGAUGCAGCCAUACCGCGUGAGUGAAGAAGGCCUUCGGGUUGUAAAGCCCUUUUGUUAGGGAAGAAAAGCAGCAGGUGAAUACCCCGCUGUUCUGACGGUACCCAAAGAAUAAGCACCGGCUAACUUCGUG
rnacentral:rRNA from 1 species